UGGAGAUCUGCUCUGCUAGAGUUUUGUGAGUGAGCCCAGGAUAGGGUUUCCUUGCAGGAAGAGAAUAAAGAAAAGUCUGCUUUCACACAGGAGGGGAUAUGAUAUACCUUUAGCUGAUUCCCACAGGGGUGUACAUAUUCUCCCACUAUUGCUCAAGCCACCUCAGUGACCUUUGACAGAGUUUCACUGCCUUAGGAUGUGUAUCCAUGUGUAGAUGAUAUUUAAUUGCAAGCUCAUACUCUGGAAAGGUGGGGGAAGUGGCAGCAGCACUAGAUGACUGAGAAUUUGAGAUUCCACCUGCAAACUGUCAGGGGCUAAGUAAAGGAGUGAAACUUUAAGGCAGCAAAGGCCAGCAAAAUUGUGCAAACUUGACUGAACCAAAGCAGAGAUAUGGGAAACCAGUGUGAACAGAAGCAAAGCUGUGCAAAAUCUUACAAAACCACGUGAACUUCAUGGAAUCUCAGUGAAGACCAGUGAUCCUGCAAAGUCUUCAGUGAACCAGGGUGGACUUCUGCAAAGCCCAGUGAAGAUCCACAAGCCUGUACAAAAAUACCGUGAAUCCGCAUGGACAGUACAAGGAACCCAAGUGAAAACCCACAACAUCGUGCGUCCUUUGCUUUAUUCAGGUUUGUUAUCUGGCAAUGCAGCCCAGCUGGAUAAGGCUCUUGUAGACUGGUAGUAUUUUCUUCAGGAACACUGAAAUCUGAAUCAGUGGGACAUCGUCCAUGAUCUAUUAUCCAACUCUUACCUUCUCCUCCCCUGGUUUCUCAUUGCCUGAGCACUUCAGGUUCACAGAAGAUGAAAAUGAAAAGAAAAAAGGAAAAGGAAAAUGGAGGAAAAAAAAAAAAAAAAGGAAAACGGAAACGAAAAAAGGGGAAUAAAAAUGAAAAAAAGGGAAAAGGAAAGGAGAAAAGAACGAUGUAGAAAAAGAAAGAAAGAGAAAUAACUAGAAUUAUUAAAAGGAACGUUAUUAGAAAAAGAAAAAAGAAUUUGAAAUACAAUGAGGACAGGAAAAAGGCGAGGAAAAAGACAAAAUAAUUGGAAUUAGGAAAAUAAAUAGAAAACGAAUUGGAAAUAGAACUAGAAGAAGAAUUGGAAAAGGCAGAGGAAAAAGAACUGGAAUUAGAAAAAGAAUUACAAAAAUAAAAAGGAAAAAGAAAACCAAUUAGGGAAAAAAAUAUUAGAAAAGGAAAAAAAUCAAGAAUUAGAAAAAGCAAAAGAAUUAGAAAAAGAAUUAGGAAAUAAGACAAAAAGAAUUAGAAAAAGAGUAAGAAACAGAAAAACAAGAAAAGGGGAGAAGAAAAAGGUGAAGAAAAUAUUAUAAAAAUAAUUUGAAAUAGAAAAGAAAGAAAAUAAUUAAAUUAGAAAAUGAAAGAGAAAAACAAUUAGAAAAUGAAAAAACGAGGACAAAUUAGGAUUAGAAUGAGAAUUGGAAAAAGAUAAGGAACUGGAAAAAAAUGGGAAAUGAGAAAGA